UUUAUGGAGAGUUUGAUCCUGGCUCAGGAUGAACGCUGGCGGCGUGCCUAAUACAUGCAAGUCGAGCGAACGGACGAGAAGCUUGCUUCUCUGAUGUUAGCGGCGGACGGGUGAGUAACACGUGGAUAACCUACCUAUAAGACUGGGAUAACUUCGGGAAACCGGAGCUAAUACCGGAUAAUAUUUUGAACCGCAUGGUUCAAAAGUGAAAGACGGUCUUGCUGUCACUUAUAGAUGGAUCCGCGCUGCAUUAGCUAGUUGGUAAGGUAACGGCUUACCAAGGCAACGAUGCAUAGCCGACCUGAGAGGGUGAUCGGCCACACUGGAACUGAGACACGGUCCAGACUCCUACGGGAGGCAGCAGUAGGGAAUCUUCCGCAAUGGGCGAAAGCCUGACGGAGCAACGCCGCGUGAGUGAUGAAGGUCUUCGGAUCGUAAAACUCUGUUAUUAGGGAAGAACAUAUGUGUAAGUAACUGUGCACAUCUUGACGGUACCUCAUCAGAAAGCCACGGCUAACUACGUGCCAGCAGCCGCGGUAAUACGUAGGUGGCAAGCGUUAUCCGGAAUUAUUGGGCGUAAAGCGCGCGUAGGCGGUUUUUUAAGUCUGAUGUGAAAGCCCACGGCUCAACCGUGGAGGGUCAUUGGAAACUGGAAAACUUGAGUGCAGAAGAGGAAAGUGGAAUUCCAUGUGUAGCGGUGAAAUGCGCAGAGAUAUGGAGGAACACCAGUGGCGAAGGCGACUUUCUGGUCUGUAACUGACGCUGAUGUGCGAAAGCGUGGGGAUCAAACAGGAUUAGAUACCCUGGUAGUCCACGCCGUAAACGAUGAGUGCUAAGUGUUAGGGGGUUUCCGCCCCUUAGUGCUGCAGCUAACGCAUUAAGCACUCCGCCUGGGGAGUACGACCGCAAGGUUGAAACUCAAAGGAAUUGACGGGGACCCGCACAAGCGGUGGAGCAUGUGGUUUAAUUCGAAGCAACGCGAAGAACCUUACCAAAUCUUGACAUCCUUUGACAACUCUAGAGAUAGAGCCUUCCCCUUCGGGGGACAAAGUGACAGGUGGUGCAUGGUUGUCGUCAGCUCGUGUCGUGAGAUGUUGGGUUAAGUCCCGCAACGAGCGCAACCCUUAAGCUUAGUUGCCAUCAUUAAGUUGGGCACUCUAAGUUGACUGCCGGUGACAAACCGGAGGAAGGUGGGGAUGACGUCAAAUCAUCAUGCCCCUUAUGAUUUGGGCUACACACGUGCUACAAUGGACAAUACAAAGGGCAGCGAAACCGCGAGGUCAAGCAAAUCCCAUAAAGUUGUUCUCAGUUCGGAUUGUAGUCUGCAACUCGACUACAUGAAGCUGGAAUCGCUAGUAAUCGUAGAUCAGCAUGCUACGGUGAAUACGUUCCCGGGUCUUGUACACACCGCCCGUCACACCACGAGAGUUUGUAACACCCGAAGCCGGUGGAGUAACCUUUUAGGAGCUAGCCGUCGAAGGUGGGACAAAUGAUUGGGGUGAAGUCGUAACAAGGUAGCCGUAUCGGAAGGUGCGGCUGGAUCACCUCCUUUCU
rnacentral:rRNA from 1 species